CCCAAACUCAAACCUAAAUCAAACCUGCAAAGAUCUGAACCAAACCAAACCGCAAAGAUCCGAACCAUACCAAAUGGUACUCGAAUGUCCACCUCUGAUCAAAUGUGAAAAAUGUUGUUGAUAACAAAAUAUAUAUUAUUUAUAAUAUUUAAAUACAAUAUAUUUAUAAAAAUUCACUCCGCGCAGGACGCAGAUUAUCAGCUAGUUUAAAAUUAUGCAAAGACAACUUUUAAAAUUGAUGAACUUAUUAACGAUACUAAAUUGGUGGUUUUAAAUUUUUUUUUUUUUUUUGCUAAAAGUGGUUUUUAAUAUUGACUACACAUAAAUGAUAUAUUGAUACUAAAUUGGUGUUGUUUCGAACAGAGAUAAAAAUGUACCCGUACCUAUAUUAGUAGACGGAUUUCUAAUCUUUCUAUAUAAGCACAAGAACAAUUCUCAUACUUUAAUUGAUCUUUUUGUUCGACUAUUUUUUUUAAUCAAUGUUUAUUUCGAAUUAACUUCGAUGAAAAGUACCAUUGAAGAAAUUUGAACAACAAAGUAGAACCCAUAUAAAUAACCAGAGUUGAAUGAACUUUCGGAUCACCUAACCAUCUCCUGGCUGGCAAGACGACACACCCGCAUGCAAAAAGAUCUAAAACAUGAUCUGCUAGAAAAGCGGCAUCUCACUCGGACGUUGGAAUGGCCAUGCUCAGGGCCGGCUUAGGGACAAGGGCGAGCAGCAGUGGCGGUGCCAGGAUCAAUUUACACGGGGGUCAAAAUAAUUUUAUGGGGUCAAAAUUUAUUAUUAAAUGGGGUCAAAAUAAUUUUUCUUUAACAAAAACAAAAAAAAAAUUAAAAAAUAGUGGGGUCAGUUGACCCCACUCCCUCCGCCCCUAGCGAGUAGUGCACCCGGCCCAGGGCCCAGAGACAAAGGGGUCCAUGUACACAAAUUAUCAUACUGUUCUCGACAUAUCGUAAUAUUGUUCUAUAAGUUAUAAAGGAAGCAGACAACAAAAUUAUUUUAAAAGAAGGUUGGACUUUACAGCAUGUUUAUCCGGGGUCUUUAGUGAGAUUCUUAGUGCGUGGGCCCCCAUAAAACUCUUAAGGAUCAGUUACAAAAACUACUAAUUAAGAACCGAUUUUAGUGAGUUUCUUACACUGUUUGCGGGUCCCACUGACUCGUGGCGGCCCGCGAUUGGUUUGCUUUUUAAUUUUUUUUUUUUUAGAUAAAAAAAAACCUAAAAAACCCAUUUGAGUUUUUUAGGGAUAAACAUGGUCUUAUGAGCCUUACGAUUAGUACCCGUUUUAAAACAAAAAAAUUUGAUCGUUUAAUUAGAACCAAUGAAUGAUUGAUUUUAUCUUUUUGUUUUGUUUUGUAAACCUUCGUUUUCUUUGCUUUUACAUUGAAAUAAAAUGAGUGAUAUGUUUGUAGUUUUUUUUGGUCUUAACUAUAUUUGUAGUUAUUAUAACGUCUUACCGUAUUUUUAACCUAUGCAAAAUUUAUAAUAUUCAUUAUAUAAACAUUUUAUAUACGUUCACGUAUACAUAAUUAUAUGGUAUUCCGGCGCUGACUAACAUGCGUAAUAUUUAGAAGUACACUAUUAUGAGAUUUUUAUACAAAAAGUUGUUAUAGAAAUGUACUUAGUAAUUACUAAUCUAGACAACCUAAUGGAUAAAAUAGCAGAAAUUAGGGGAAAACAGGUUUAUAGUCUUACUUGGUUUUAUCAUAAAAAUAAAAAUUUUGUUAUAUUAAAGGGCCAAUUUUUUAUUUUUGCCCUAGGGCCUCCAAUAUGUUUGAGCCGGCCCUGGCCAUGCUACUAAGCGCUCUAGACAUGCAUCUGAGCUGUGAGCACGCUCGCAGGUACUCCAGAAUAUUACCAGAGUUUCCGGUGUACAGCCAAAGAGAAUGUUUACAGCUACGGAGUUAUACUUCUUGAGUUUUCCUCUGGUAAGAAACCUAUCGAUCUAGAGGAGUUUAGAGAAGACAAUAACCUUGUCGGGUGCUCGAAACAGCUAAAGAGGCAUAGAGAUUCUUGACCCGGAGCUUGUAACCCCCAAAUCAGGCGAUGUUGAGCUGUUUCAAUACUGGAAGAUCGCGUCUCAAUGCUUGGAUGAUCAACCGUUUAGGCGGCCAACAAUUAUUCAAGUGAUGGCCAUGUUCAAAGAGCUAAUUAAGGCUGAUACAGAGGAAAAGAAAAGCCUCGAUUUCUUAAGAUAGAAGAAUCUCUGAAUCGGAUGCUCAUGUUAAGUCGUUCCAAGUUUUUGGUGUUAGUGUGUAUAUAUCAGAAGAAGCUUCAUCUAGAAGGUCAUGUUAAGUCGUUCCAAGUUCUCUUCAGUUUGUAACUUAUGUAUCCUAGAGUUUGUUAACUUUAGUUUUACUUCAUUUUGGAAAAGAGAAUGAAAGGAUUAAAACAAUGGAAUAAUCAUAUAUAUGAUUAUUCCAUUUUAUAGUGAAAUAUAAACUAUAUUCUAAAAUGAAUUUUGAAAUGAAAAAUGAAUAGAGUUAAAUAAAGUGCUUAAAUUAAGUUGUGAGGACUGCAUAAAAAUAUCUAUCUAUUACAAUAAAGGAAGUUUGCCUCUCUCCACAUGCCGGCACGUCAGCAAGGAGGAUUGGACGUUUUCUGCCACCUGUCAUCACCUAAAGUAAGUUUAUGUUUUGAUCGAGAUCUGAAAAUUUAGUUCGCUUCGUAUGCUGGGCUUUGUUAAAACUUUGAAUGUAAUUUUUUCUGGGAUUUUUUGUUUUGUGAUGAAGUAAGGCCCACUAAAUGAUGCCUUUCUUUCUACUUGGAUCAUUAAUUGAAUGGAUUCAGAAGUCUGAAACCUAACGAUUCUUUUUCCACCUCCCGUCACGUAACCCCUGCCCGUUAUGGCAAAGAAUCAACAUAACCCGCUAAUCACACUUUCUCCUCUUCAUUGCAUGUUUAAUUUCUCGAUCCUGAGCUUUUUCCAGAGUAAAUAUAUAGAUACACCUUCUCAUUGGCCUUUCAAAUACCUCUAAACAUUUUUCCGAUCGAUUUUUAAUUUGCAAGCUUAGACAAAUUGAAGGCAGGCCGGUGCAAGUAGGUGGUACAGACGCGACUGCUCCAGUUUUUGGAGGCUAUGAAUGUCAAAAAGAGGCCAGUUGAUUUGGGGGGGGAGGGGAUUGAUAUGCUGCUGCUAGAUUCCAAGGGGACGACCGCAAGCUCUAUGCGGCAGAGCCGUUGGCGCUCGACAUCUGCAACCUCGAACUCAGGGAGAAUGCUCUUCACGAGUUGUCUAAGAAGAGAGAGAUCUUUCAUGAUUUGGCUCCACUGUUGUGGUAAUCUGUUGGUACUGUUCCUUCUCUUCUACAGAUACACUUCGUCCAUUAAAUCUGAGUGGAACCUUCACAUGCUGAAAACAGAAUCGAACUAUCACAAUUACACUUUAGCAGCUGAGAGUGGGAAGAAGGCGAUGCAAGAAGUUCUCUUGAACUGGUAUAAACAAAUCUCAAAAGUUCAUAACAUACAUCGGUCCCAAAACCUGGGCUUUUUUCAUCGUUUUCUUAACUUUUCAAGACGGAUAAUUUUAUGUUAGGAAAGAUUAUGUGAUUGCACAUCAAUGGAGGAAAGCUUAAGAAUCCCUGGUCAGUAACAUAUCACCUCAAAAUCUUAAACAGAGGAGGCAUGGAUGCCAAUGAGAACCUAAGCUCUCAGUUCUGUAUCAUCCUCUCUUGAUGUUUUUGAUGUUGCUAACGCCAGCCUUCUUACUUCCAUUGAUCUGAGUUAGCUAAUUCAUUUGAAUUUACAGAUUUGUAUUAAAUAUUAUUCGUUGUUUUGCUGAAAAUUUACCCUUUCUUCUGUCAGUUUCGUUGAAAUUCAAUAAUGAUGCAUGUGCUAAGAUCAACUCCAUGAUCAUCCCAUGCUGUGAAGACUUGAUAGAGCCCAAGAGUGAUCACAGUCACAAGGUCGUAGAGAUCAAAAUCAGCGCAUGGAAAUAUCUUCUUGAUGAAAACUUGUGGAUGAACCUUCGUGUUCAACGCCCAUGAAAAGACCAAACGACAUACCAAGCAUUGAGUCCGUUGAGGAACUUAGAAUUCCAGCAUCUGAGACUUACUAAAGGGUUUCAACUUUCAAGAUGGGAAACUGUUGAAGCAGGCCAGUGGUGAUGCAAAGCAGCAGCACCAGCAGCAGCAACACCUUAUACGUGCUUCCUCUGUUUACGAAGCAGCUGUGUCGGACUCAAGAUCUACCCUCUCUCGGCUGUUAACUGAGACCAAAGGUUAUUAUUGUGUCAUACUCUACAGAGAGAGUAUUGUUGCAUACAUGUCAACGUAUUUUCUUCGUGGAGGUAGUUUGAGGAUUUUACAAAGUCUUUAUUUGGUUAGUUAAGAUUUGUAUUGUUUAUUAGUUGGAACCAAAGAAAUUAUUAUCUUAUGAAUCAGUAUAUUAUGAGUCGUGUUAGUUGAAAUUACAAGCAAAUCUAUUAAGCUUUAUGGUUUCAGAUAGGUCAUGAGCUUGAGAUUAGCGAUUCCUAAUGGUAUAGUUCCAGGGAGAUAAUGCCGGUAAGAAAGAUUCUGGGAUUAAUCGACCCUAUGUGGAGAGUGUGUUCGACAACUCGGUGAUCACCCUUAUAGCAACGCAAACGUCCCACAAGCAGUAAUUAAUACCUUUCAUUCAGUUACUUAAAACUUUGAGAGAGACUUGGGUUAUACUAGAUUUGAAAGCUAAAAGACCCGCUUCAUCAUCGGGAUGAGACGCAGCACGGCAGCAGCUCCCGUGGGAUUUAGAUAUGAACAAAAAAUAAUGGCGGUAAGAUGAUGAGAUAGAAAGAAUAAGAGUUCAUGGUGUUGUUUAAAUAUAACUACUGAUGUGAAACAAUAUUUGGCAUGCGUGAAAAGAAAAUACAAAGAGAGAUACACCAAGGUCUAAUCAGAAGUUUAAUAUCCAAUGAAAGUCAUUAAAAUAAACAAAGAUAAAGUGAAACUGUGAAAGAUAAGAAAUCUAGUGUUGAUGUCCAUCAAAAUUAUAUGUUCCAUCUGCAAACAAAAUGUUACUAUCUAUGUAAAUUCAUACGUCACACAUGAAUAGUCGUUAGAAGCAGUGGCGUGCCUAUGGUAUAAAAAGGAUUUGUUCCAUGUAGGCAUGGCAAUUCAGAAAAUGAUUGACCAAUUCAACGUUGAAAUAUAACAUGUCUUCCUUAAAGCACAUCAUUAUCGUUUUUCUAUCCAGGAGCAGCUCGAUCCAUUCAUCUUCAGUUUUCGUCAUUUACUUUUAAAAUAGUAUUUUCAUGCUGUUUUUAAAAUAUUUUUUAAUGUUCUCUUACUUCACAAAAUAUGUUUACUUCUAAAACAAUUUUUGACUUUCUUCUCUAUCAAAUUUUUAAUAUACUUUUACUUCAGAAAAUAUGUUUACUUCUAAAACAAUGAAUUAAUCUAUUUAUAGAGUAAACACCAAUUUCUACUCUAUUAAAGAGUGAAAAUAUAGUAAAAUUUGAACUUUUUUUACUUCAAACUCAAUUUAAGAAUGAAAAAUAGAAUAGAAUUGGAAAUACUUUUAAAAAAAAAAUCUAAACAACAAAAGAAACAUGCAGAACAAUAAUUUACAUCGAAAGUACGACAUAAUAUGACAUAUAAUAACAAUAAUUUCCAUUGUUUAAUUAUUUUGUAAGAAUAUAAAUCAACAAUAAACAUUUUUUUACCAACAGCAGUGAAAUAUCUCUAACAAGAUUACAAUUCUAGAAGAAAAAAAACAAUUAGGAAUCUAGGAAGCCAAAAUAUGAAAAGAUAUAUCAUAAUAAAAGAAAAGUGAUCAUGAUGUGAAAGUGAACUUACCAUAAAUCAUGAAAUAAACACAUAAA